rnacentral:rRNA from 1 species
UACGAAGGGGGCUAGCGUUGCUCGGAAUCACUGGGCGUAAAGCGCACGUAGGCGGCUUGUUAAGUCAGGGGUGAAAUCCUGGAGCUCAGCUCCAGAACUGCCUUUGAUACUGGCAAGCUUGGAGUCCGGGAGAGGUGAGUGGAACUGCGAGUGUAGAGGUGAAAUUCGUAGAUAUUCGCAAGAACACCAGUGGCGAAGGCGGCUCACUGGCCCGGUACUGACGCUGAGGUGCGAAAGCGUGGGGAGCAAACAGG